rnacentral:rRNA from 1 species
AUACGGAGGGUCCAAGCGUUAUCCGGAUUCAUUGGGUUUAAAGGGUCCGCAGGCGGGAAAAUAAGUCAGCGGUGAAGGCCUACAGCUCAACUGUAGAACUGCCAUUGAAACUGUUUUUCUUGAGUAUAGAUGAAGUGGGCGGAAUAUAUCAUGUAGCGGUGAAAUGCAUAGAUAUGAUAUAGAACACCGAUUGCGAAGGCAGCUCACUAAACUAUUACUGACGCUCAGGGACGAAAGCGUGGGGAGCGAACAGGAUUAGAAACCCCAGUAGUCC